AGAGGAUCCCAGUUUCCGCGCUAACACGCAGCUGUCACAUCUAGUUGGAGACAGCCACUUCUUCCCAGCUGUUUACCUGCUCUGGCAAGAAGGCACCCUAUUCCAAAAGCGAGUAGGCUGGAGGAGGAGUCUGCGUGGUGCUUGCUGCAGGUCAAUUUUGUUUGGAAAUGAAUGCUAAGGAAAGCAUCGACUGAUCACUCCAGGUAGCAGUCUCACAACAUCAAUCUAUUGAUUUUUCACUGUAUGGGGUGAAGAAGAAACCACCAAGUCAGGUAUGACUUUCAGGCUCAAAAAUUAUCCACUUGAAAUUAAACAUAUAUAAUGCACUACAGACUGAAACUUUUAAAAUCCUCUUACAAUGGAACUUGAAGCAAGUGUUUUUGGAAAUUGCUAGAAGCAAUCUUUACUAUUUUUUUUCUCUAAUGCACAAUCACUGUUGUAGAAAGCAAACCAUAUAACCACUUGUUAAGACUUCUACAUUGUAUUGUAUCCCACCUAAUAAUUAGCCUCUCAGAAUGUAUUCUGCCUAAAUGUCCCUAGCCACAUUUCCAAAGUAAUCUGAUGUUCAUUGUUCUUCCCUUUGGUAUGUACUGGUAGUCCACAGUAUCUUCUUAUUCUAAUCAGUAUUUCAAUGUCUGUUGAAAUGUCUGUUUAAAUGAAAGUAGCAGUGAUUAGUGGCACAGAUGUUUCCCUGAAAUUAAAAAUGUAUGGGUUAAAACCACAAAUUAAGCCAAGUACAGUCUUUACAUGCAUAUUCAUGUUUAUUUGAAGGGGGGUGGAUGGUGGGGUAAACAUUGCUGUCAAGUGAAAAUACUACAGCCUAAAGNNNNNNNNNNNNNNNNNNNNNNNNNNNNNNNNNNNNNNNNNNNNNNNNNNNNNUCAUCAAUGGACAAAUCGUGGAAACAGAAAGUAAACAUAUCAACAGAUCCUGAAGAAAUCNNNNNNNNNNNNNNNNNNNNNNNNNNNNNNNNNNNNCAUUGACAUAUUGGGUAUAUUUGCUUCUUAUUUGUGUUUACACUUCAGUGUUAUACAUUAAGGUUUUAAUAUUUGACAAUGAGCAAAGUUAAAGUACUUGUAUCAAUGAACUGAUAAUAAUUUCCUAGUUAAGGAAGUCAAUCUGUAUUUGGUGAUUUUUUUUCUUUUAGUAUCUUUCUUUCUAUUUGAAUUUUACAAGCAAUUAUAAUAUGAAGAUGAGAAUCCAUGAAUUAGAUUGAUUCCUUUAAUCAUGUCCACAUGUUAGAAACUAGUACUUAGUUUUCCUGAGCCCCUAGACCAUGCUGUAAUAUACUCCACUGGGGCUUUAUUUUCAUAGAUUUAGGAGAGUGCAGUGAUUGCCCUCUUGUGUUAUUAUACCUGAUUAAGAGGUUUUCCUUGCUCUUAGUUGAGGAGGAAGUUCCUCUAGUAAGACACCAGUCCUACUCCAUAUCCUAUAUCUCUCCACUCUGAUCCUGGUAGUGACUACUGUUUUGGACUAUAGUAAUUAAAUUAUGACUCCAUUAGAAUUGCUAAAACUUUUUAAGCAGGUUCUCAAUGAGGAAAGAAAUGUGAAAACAAAUAAACAGGUUAAAUUUUCUCAAUAUGUAUAUCACUAUUUUCAUCUUUAUGGGAAAACUAAAACCCCUUCCUUUCCAUUAACUAGACACAUUACUUGUGCUAUGGGUAGCUCAGGGUUUUCCUAUAGACCUUUACUAUCUUUGUUCAAUUGGUUAAUUAACUUGGUGAGAUAAAUUAGAUAGAUGAUAGAUAGAUAGAUAGAUAGAUAGAUAGAUAGAUAGAUAGAUAGACAGACCUAAGAAUAAGGAUUAAAGAAAAGAAAUAUACUCAAGAUCCAGGCACCUUCCCUGCCAGAGGAGAGGUGUCCACCGUGCCCAGGAGGAAUUUGCCAGAGCAUCUGCAGGAGCCAUCUUCAUUCCCGGAUCCUGCCAAGACUAGUCUGAACUAGUUAGAGUGUGGACUACAGAAGCUAACAGCUUCUGGGACAGGCGGGAGUCACAGAGCUUCUGUGGCAGACCCAGUUUCGGGCUCCAGACAUCUGGGCAACUUCUCUGCCAGAGGAGAGGUGUCCGCCCAGCCCAGGAGGACAUUGCCAGAGCAUCUGCCAGAGACAUUUGGUUCCCAGAUCCUGCCAAGACUAGUCUGCACAGACUCCAGACAUCCGGGUACCUUCCCUGCCAGAGGAGAGAUGUCCACCACGCCCGGGAGGGCUUUGCCAGAGCAUCUGCAGGAGCCAUCUUCAUUCCCGGAUACCACCAAGAUUAGUCUGCACUGGUGAGAGUGUGGACAACAGAAGCUAACAGCUUCUGGGACAGGCCCUGUUUUGGGGCCUUCAUCUUCUGCCAGGAGGCAAGUCCGAACAACAGAUAUCUCUGCACCUUCUCUGAAAGAGGAGAGCUUGCCUGCAGAGAGCGCUCUAACCACUGAAACUCAAGAGGGAGGUAGUCUCCCAGGUCUGCUGGUAGAGGCUAACAGAAUCACAAAAAGAACAAGCUCUAACCAGAGACAACUAUAACAACUGACUCCAGAGAUUACCAGAUGGCGAAUGGCAGAUGUAAGAAUCUUACUAACAGAACCAAGAACACUCACCAUUAUCAGAACCCAGCACUCCCACCUCAGCCAGUCCUGGGUACCCCAACACAUCUGAAAAGCUAGACCUGGAUUUAAAGGCAUAUCUCAUGAUGAUGGUAGAGGACAUCAAGAAGGACUUUAAUAACUCACUUAAAGAAAUAUAGGUGAACACUGCUAAAGAGUUACAAGUCCUUAAAGAAAAAGAGGAAAACACAUCCAAACAAGUGAUGGAAAUGAAUGAAAACAUACUAGACUUAAAAAGGGUAGUGGAGACAAUAAAGAAAACCCAAAGUGGGGCAACGCUGGAGAUAGAAACCCUAGGAAAGAAAUCUGGAAUCAUAUAUGCAAGAAUCAGCAACAGAAUUCAAGAGAUGGAAGAGAGAAUCCUAGCUGCAGAAGAUUCCAUAGAGAACAUUGGC
ensembl:lincRNA